GGGUGAGGUAGAGGAGCGGGCUGCAAGAGUAUGUUUGCCUAUUUUAUCCGGCGACGUAUUUGAGGCAAAGAGAAAGGGCAUCCCGCCGAAGUCCGGGAACUGCCGGGGUUUUUGGGCUGGGCCGGCGUCGAAGAGGCGCCGGACUGUCACCGUGGCAAUCAAACCUCAUUGCCCGGUGGAGCGCUAUCUCAGGU
rnacentral:ncRNA from 2 species